UUAGAGAUAAUCAUGGAACAUGAGCAGGCCCACUGCUGAGCCUCUCACCUGAGAAGUCCAGAGUCGAGAAGGCACAGGCUUCAACAGCUGCACUACAGGAAUUUUCACAAUAACCAAGACAUGGAAGUAACCAAAAUGUCCAUCACCAGAUGAGUGGAAAAAGAAGGAGUGGUCCAUGUACAAAUUGGAAUAUUCGCCGUGGAAAACAAUGAAACACUGCUCUUUGAGGCACCAUAGUUGAUCCUGGAGAUAAUCACAGAACGUGAGGAAUGGAAAAAGGCUGAACAUCAGGAAUUAAUAAAGCCAUGCAAAUCCAGUGUACAAAAACUUUCACCUCACAGCCUUCAGGAUGAUCAUCAGCAAAAAAAAAAAAGUCUACAAAGAAUAAAUGCUGAAGGGGUUUUAGAGAACUGUGUACCCUUUAGCUGCUGGUGGGAUGUAACCUGGAAACAGCCAGUAGUGAGAACAGAAUAGAGGUGCGUUUAAAGGUAAAAAUGGAGCUACUAUGUGAUCUGGUAGGCCCACUAAUGGGCCUGUCACAUGAGUAGACCAGAAUCAAAAAGACACAGGCUGGCAAUCCUGCACUGCAGCAAGCAUGUACCAUAGCCAAGACCUGGAAGAAACCAAAAUGUCCAUCAACAGAAAAAUGCACCAAGAAGAUGUCGUCCAUGUACACAGUGGAAUAUUAGCCAUGAAAAAGCAUGGAACAGUGCCGUUGGCACCACCAUAGAAGGAUCUACAGAUAAUCACCCAACUUGAAGUAAGAAAGAAACCGAAAGACAGACAUCCUAUGACAUCACUUAUAGGUGUUACCUAAAAAUUGAUACCCAUGAAAUAAUUUCCAAGAGAAGGACACACAUAGAUUCAGAAAACCAAAUUAUGUUCAACCAAAUGGAAAGGUGUAAGGAAUGUAUGAAUUAGGAUAUGGGGGUUAACAGACAUGUACUAAUACAUAUGAAAUAUAUAAUCACACAAUACCUAUGGAAUAUGAAGAGAGGUCUACUCAACACUCUAUAACAUACACGGGAAAGGAUCCAAAGAGGAAUAGACAGAUACAUUGAUAGGAUGAACCAGAGACUGUACACCUAGGAGAAUCUACAUUUUUAUCAAAUUUGCUCUGAUAAUUAAUAAAAGUUAAAUUUAAAAAACAAACAAUAAUUUAGGAGAUAUAAACUCCUGGGGCUUUUCGCUGGCACAUUCCACUCUAAUUUGCUGCUUACUAACACAAUUUCCAGGAAAGCUCUGUUGCCCAAAAACCCAGAGUUGGAAAUGUAGAAAUGCUGCCGCCUUGUGGCCGUUUCCCACAAGAGCGGCUUUAAACCCACAGCUAAUGGUCACUUAACAUUCCCAAGGACUCAGGGCUGUAAAGGACACCUGCCCUAAACAAUUGUGCGGAGGUAGGGAAUGGCCAAAAAAAUUCAAAACUGGCAAAUUUUCAAGGAGAUAGUAUGGAGGGGUAAGUUUUACUCACUUAUUUUCAAAAAAGAGGAAAAUGGGUAAAAGCUCAACAUCAGGAAUUAUUAGACUCAUGCAAGUCUAACCUCCAAAAAUUUUCAACUCACACAUGUCAACUACCAUCAGCAAAAAGUCUACAAGCAAUAAAUGCUGAAGGGGUUUUAGAGAACUCUGUACCCUCUAGCUUCUGGUGAGAUGUAAAGUGGUAACAGCAAAUAAUGAGAACAGAAAGGAGCUGCGUUUAAACGUAAAAAUUGAGCUACCAUUCCAUUCAGCAGGCCCACUGCUGAGCCUCUCACCUGAGAAGUCCAGAGUCGAGAAGGCACAGGCUUCAACAGCUGCACUACAGGAAUUUUCACAAUAACCAAGACAUGGAAGUAACCAAAAUGUCCAUCACCAGAUGAGUGGAAAAAGAAGGAGUGGUCCAUGUACAAAUUGGAAUAUUCGCCGUGGAAAACAAUGAAACACUGCUCUUUGAGGCACCAUAGUUGAUCCUGGAGAUAAUCACAGAACGUGAGGAAUGGAAAAAGGCUGAACAUCAGGAAUUAAUAAAGCCAUGCAAAUCCAGUGUACAAAAACUUUCACCUCACAGCCUUCAGGAUGAUCAUCAGCAAAAAAAAAAAAGUCUACAAAGAAUAAAUGCUGAAGGGGUUUUAGAGAACUGUGUACCCUUUAGCUGCUGGUGGGAUGUAACCUGGAAACAGCCAGUAGUGAGAACAGAAUAGAGGUGCGUUUAAAGGUAAAAAUGGAGCUACUAUGUGAUCUGGUAGGCCCACUAAUGGGCCUGUCACAUGAGUAGACCAGAAUCAAAAAGACACAGGCUGGCAAUCCUGCACUGCAGCAAGCAUGUACCAUAGCCAAGACCUGGAAGAAACCAAAAUGUCCAUCAACAGAAAAAUGCACCAAGAAGAUGUCGUCCAUGUACACAGUGGAAUAUUAGCCAUGAAAAAGCAUGGAACAGUGCCGUUGGCACCACCAUAGAAGGAUCUACAGAUAAUCACCCAACUUGAAGUAAGAAAGAAACCGAAAGACAGACAUCCUAUGACAUCACUUAUAGGUGUUACCUAAAAAUUGAUACCCAUGAAAUAAUUUCCAAGAGAAGGACACACAUAGAUUCAGAAAACCAAAUUAUGUUCAACCAAAUGGAAAGGUGUAAGGAAUGUAUGAAUUAGGAUAUGGGGGUUAACAGACAUGUACUAAUACAUAUGAAAUAUAUAAUCACACAAUACCUAUGGAAUAUGAAGAGAGGUCUACUCAACACUCUAUAACAUACACGGGAAAGGAUCCAGAGAGGAAUAGACAGAUACAUUGAUAGGAUGAACCAGAGACUGUACACCUAGGAGAAUCUACAUUUUUAUCAAAUUUGCUCUGAUAAUUAAUAAAAGUUAAAUUUAAAAAACAAACAAUAAUUUAGGAGAUAUAAACUCCUGGGGCUUUUCGCUGGCACAUUCCACUCUAAUUUGCUGCUUACUAACACAAUUUCCAGGAAAGCUCUGUUGCCCAAAAACCCAGAGUUGGAAAUGUAGAAAUGCUGCCGCCUUGUGGCCGUUUCCCACAAGAGCGGCUUUAAACCCACAGCUAAUGGUCACUUAACAUUCCCAAGGACUCAGGGCUGUAAAGGACACCUGCCCUAAACAAUUGUGCGGAGGUAGGGAAUGGCCAAAAAAAUUCAAAACUGGCAAAUUUUCAAGGAGAUAGUAUGGAGGGGUAAGUUUUACUCACUUAUUUUCAAAAAAGAGGAAAAUGGGUAAAAGCUCAACAUCAGGAAUUAUUAGACUCAUGCAAGUCUAACCUCCAAAAAUUUUCAACUCACACAUGUCAACUACCAUCAGCAAAAAGUCUACAAGCAAUAAAUGCUGAAGGGGUUUUAGAGAACUCUGUACCCUCUAGCUUCUGGUGAGAUGUAAAGUGGUAACAGCAAAUAAUGAGAACAGAAAGGAGCUGCGUUUAAACGUAAAAAUUGAGCUACCAUUCCAUUCAGCAGGCCCACUGCUGAGCCUCUCACCUGAGAAGUCCAGAGUCGAGAAGGCACAGGCUUCAACAGCUGCACUACAGGAAUUUUCACAAUAACCAAGACAUGGAAGUAACCAAAAUGUCCAUCACCAGAUGAGUGGAAAAAGAAGGAGUGGUCCAUGUACAAAUUGGAAUAUUCGCCGUGGAAAACAAUGAAACACUGCUCUUUGAGGCACCAUAGUUGAUCCUGGAGAUAAUCACAGAACGUGAGGAAUGGAAAAAGGCUGAACAUCAGGAAUUAAUAAAGCCAUGCAAAUCCAGUGUACAAAAACUUUCACCUCACAGCCUUCAGGAUGAUCAUCAGCAAAAAAAAAGUCUACAAAGAAUAAAUGCUGAAGGGGUUUUAGAGAACUGUGUACCCUUUAGCUGCUGGUGGGAUGUAACCUGGAAACAGCCAGUAGUGAGAACAGAAUAGAGGUGCGUUUAAAGGUAAAAAUGGAGCUACUAUGUGAUCUGGUAGGCCCACUAAUGGGCCUGUCACAUGAGUAGACCAGAAUCAAAAAGACACAGGCUGGCAAUCCUGCACUGCAGCAAGCAUGUACCAUAGCCAAGACCUGGAAGAAACCAAAAUGUCCAUCAACAGAAAAAUGCACCAAGACGUCGUCCAUGUACACAAUGGAAUAUUAGCCAUGAAAAAGCAUGGAACAGUGCCGUUGGCACCACCAUAGAAGGAUCUACAGAUAAUCACCCAACUUGAAGUAAGAAAGAAACCGAAAGACAGACAUCCUAUGACAUCACUUAUAGGUGUUACCUAAAAAUUGAUACCCAUGAAAUAAUUUCCAAGAGAAGGACACACAUAGAUUCAGAAAACCAAAUUAUGUUCAACCAAAUGGAAAGGUGUAAGGAAUGUAUGAAUUAGGAUAUGGGGGUUAACAGACAUGUACUAAUACAUAUGAAAUAUAUAAUCACACAAUACCUAUGGAAUACGAAGAGAGGUCUACUCAACACUCUAUAAUAUACACGGGAAAGGAUCCAAAGAGGAAUAGACAGAUACAUAGAUAGGAUGAAUCAGAAACUGUACACCUAGGAGAAUCUACAUUUUUAUCAAAUUUGCUCUGAUAAUUAAUAAAAAUUAAAUUUAAAAAGCAAACAAUUUAGGAUAUAUAUGCUCUUGGGGCUUUGCGCUGGCACAUUCCACUCUAAUUUGCUGCUUACUAACACAGUUUCCAGGAAAGCUCUGUUGCCCAAAAACCCAGAGUUGGAAAUGUAGAAAUGCUGCCGCCUUGUGGCCGUUUCCCACAAGAGCGGCUUUAAACCCACAGCUAAUGGUCACUUAACAUUCAGAAGGACUCAGGGCUGUAAAGGACACCUGCCCUAAACAACUGUGUGGAGGUAGGGAAUGGCCAAAAAAAUUCAAAACUGCAAAUUUUUCAAGAAAAUAAUAUGAAGAGGUUAAUUUGGCUCGCUCUUUUAAAAAAAGGAAAAUGGAUAAAAGCUCAACCUCAGUAAUUAUUAGACUCAUGCAAAUCUAAUCUACAAAAAGGUUUCAACUCACACCAGUCAACUGGCCAUCAGCAAAAAGACUACAAACAAUAAAUAUUGAAGGGGUUUUAGAGAACACUGUACCCUCUAGCUUCUGGUGAGAUGUAAAGUGGUAACAGCCAAUAAUGAGAACAGAAGGGAGCUGCAAUUAAAAUAAAAAUUGAGGUACCAUUCAAUCCAGCAGUCACACCACUGGGCCUCUCACCUGAGAUCUGAAUCGAGAAGACCCGGGCUGCAAAAUCUGCACUGCAGCCUUAUUCACAAUAGCCAAGACAGUGAAGCAACCAAAAUGUCCAUCAACAGAUGAACAGAUAAAGAAGAAGUGGUCUAUUUAUACAACAGAAUAUUAGCCAUGGAAAACAAUGAAACACUGCUAUUUGAGGCACCAUAGAUGAGCUUGGAGAUAAUCACAGAACAUGAGAUAAGUCAGAAAGCAAAAACCUAUAUCCUAUGAUAUCACUUAUAGGUGUUAACUAAUAACUAACACAAAUGAACAUAUUUCCACAGAGAAAGACACUCACAGACUUAGAAGUAUGCUUAUCUAAAAGGAUAGGUGGGGUGAAUGGAAAAAUUAAGAUUAGGGUUACCAUACGUGUACAAAUACCUAUUAAAUACAUAUAUCAAAAGACCGACUAUAUAGCAAGUGAGGUCUAUGGAACUGUGGAGACGUCCCAAUCACCUGACUGCCCUCCGACCUGCCGUGAACUGGAGACUGAGACCAGGCACGCCUCUCUCCUUCUCCAUUCACUCAGGGACAGACUGGGGGUCAUGGGAACCUCAGAAUCGAAACCAGAUUCUAAGACACCCCUGGGGUGUCUCCUAGCCAAUUUUACAGCCCUCGGUUUCUCCCAAGUUCUCCGUUGCCGAUGGCUUAUUUUCUAUUCCACUGUGGCCAGGCCACAAUAUCCUC